rnacentral:rRNA from 1 species
UACGUAGGGUGCGAGCGUUAAUCGGAAUUACUGGGCGUAAAGCGUGCGUAGGCGGUUAGUUAAGUCUGUCGUGAAAGCCCCGGGCUCAACCUGGGAAUGGCGAUGGAUACUGGCUAGCUAGAGUGUGUCAGAGGAUGGUGGAAUUCCCGGUGUAGCGGUGAAAUGCGUAGAGAUCGGGAGGAACAUCAGUUGCGAAGGCGGCUCUCUGGACCAGCACUGACACUGAGGCACGAAAGCGUGGGGAGCAAACAGG